rnacentral:rRNA from 1 species
GUUCUUUUAUCAAGGAAGAAAAGCAAAUGGCGAACCAUUUGUUUGCCGGUACUUGAUGAAUAAGCCCCGGCUAAUUAUGUGCCAGCAGCCGCGGUAAGACAUAAGGGGCAAGUGUUAUCCGGAAUUAUUGGGCGUAAAGGGUGCGUAGGCGGUCUAGUAAGUCAGUGGUGUAAUGGCAACGCUUAACGUUGUCCGGCUAUUGAAACUGCUAAACUUGAGUUAGAUAGAGGCGAGUGGAAUUCCAUGUGUAGCGGUAAAAUGCGUAAAUAUAUGGAGGAACACCAGAGGCGUAGGCGGCUCGCUGGGUCUUAACUGACGCUGAGGCACGAAAGCGUGGGGAGCAAACAGGAUUAGAUACCCUGGUAGUCCACGCCGUAAACGAUGAGUACUAAGUGUCGGGUUAAACCGGUACUGAAGUUAACACAUUAAGUACUCCGCCUGAGUAGUACGUACGCAAGUAUGAAACUUAAAGGAAUUGACGGGACUCCGCACAAGCGGUGGAUCAUGUUGUUUAAUUCGAAGAUACCCGAAAAACCUUACCAGGUCUUGACAUGUUUUUGCAAAAUGAUAGUAAUAUCGUGGAGGUUACCAGAAACACAGGUGGUGCAUGGUUGUCGUCAGCUCGUGUCGUGAGAUGUUAGGUUAAGUCCUAAAACGAGCGAAACCCUUAUCGUUAGUUGCCAGCACGUUAUGGUGGGGACUUUAACGAGACUGCCAAUGAUAAAUUGGAGGAAGGUGAGGAUCACGUCAAAUC